GGGUCUGGGGUAGAGGAGGGGGGGAGGGGCCUGGGUAGAGCAGGGUGGGAGGGGUCUGGAGGAGAGGAGGGCGAGAGGGGUCUGGGUAGAGGAGGGUAGGAGGGGCCUGGGGUAGAGGAGGGCGGGGAGGGUCCGGGGUAGAGCAGGGUGGGAGGGGUCCGGGGUAGAGCAGGGUGGGAGGGGUCCGGGGUAGAGGAGGGUGGGAGGAGUCUGGGUAGAGGAGGGUGGGAGGGGCCUGGGGUAGAGGAGGGCGGGGAGGGUCCGGGGUAGAGGAGAGGAGGGCGAGAGGGGUCUGGGUAGAGCAGGGUGGGAGGGGCCUGGG